UUUUUUUUUCUUUUUUCUUCUCUCCACAGACAGCAAAGCCAACUCCCUCUCUCUAUUUUUGUCUCUCCUUUUCAUCAUUUUCUCCUUCUUCUUCUGAAAAAUCUAAAUCCCUUUAGUCUUCAUCUUCGAUUUUGACCUAGUUCAGUUUCUCUCUCUCCCUUUUCCGGGUUCUGAUUGAUGACCCUUUUGCCAAUACCUUUUCAAUUUUAGAUUUUUAGGUUUUAUUUUGUUAAUCGGUUUCUUGGCAUAGCGAUGUGUAGCUUAUAACCUUUAACGUUAUGAAAGGUUUAUUUUUUAGACUCUAUUAUUUGUGUUUUAUUUCUCAGUUAUUUUUUUUUCUUUGAAGCUUAGGUAUGGCUUCAAAAUGCAUCUUGAAGGAGCUUAAGGAUUUGCAAAAGGAUCCUCCUACGUUGUGCAGAUAUUCAUGUGGCAAACAUUAGCAUCGGCCCUUAGAAGUAAGCAAGAGAUUGUGCUAACUGUUGCAUCAAGCGGUAUUACAAAGUGAUUAGUGAGACUAUGAAGUAAACAACGACUGCUUCAAUCAUUUCCAGUGUAUUUCAUACACAUUCAAACAAGGUGGAUUAUUACUUUAAUACUAAACAUAUUCUACUCAUAGACCAAUUCAAUUUAUGUGUAUAAAACCAUGUAUUUCACAUAAUUAAAACAUUAUUUUAAUACGUUUAAAUUGUUUUGUGCAACUAUGGAAACUGCAAGUAACCAUUUUUUGUUUAGAAAGCUUUUUUUGACAAGGAAUCAAUAGCAAGGUAACCAUUUUUUUGG